rnacentral:rRNA from 1 species
AUUGUCUUAGACUAAGCCAUGCACGUCUAAGUACAAACUAAACGAUGGUGAAACUGCAAAUGGCUCACAACAACGGUUAUGAUGUACCCGGGAGUUCCGAUGGAUAUUUCCAGUAACACUAGAACUAAUACAUGUCCCUGCGUUUAUUAGUUUCGCACAGUCCGUCGCUGAGUCAUGGUAAACAGUUGAUCGACUCGACGUCCCGGAACAGUUUCCGCCCCAUCAGCUUCGAUGGUUGGGUAUUGGCCUACCAUUGCAACAACGGGUAACGAGGAAUUAGGGUUUGAUUUCGGAGAGGGAGCCUGAGAAACGGCUACCACAUCUACGGAUGGCAGCAGGCGCGCAAAUUACCCAAUGCAGACACUGUGAGGUAGUGACGAGAAAUAAUAAAGCGGGACUUCUGUUUCGCUAUUAUAAUGAGGAAUAACCAAAGGUCAUUCCGAUUAGCAACUGAUGGGAAAGUCUGGUGCCAGCAGCCGCGGUAAUACCAGCGUCAGUAG